AAAAAUGAAACAAGCCCAUAAACAAAUCACAAAAUACAUGGGAUGUGGAGAUAUCAAUUACAGGCGUGUAUAAACUAAAAAUUAAAGAAGAUAAUAACACAAUAAAAAGAGGUAAAAAAAUACAAACAUUUUUUUUUUGAAAUCUGAAACCCUAGAGCUCCUUCUCCAUUACGAAGAUUGCAACCUGCUCUAAUACCCCUUUUUCUCUUCUUCUCCGGUGUGCUCUGGUCUUGGAGCUACACUGUCACACCCUGCUGCAGUACGACGUCCAAAUCCCCAAGGUCGCUCCUUUUUCAUCCAUCUUAUCGUUUCAGCCACAUAGAACGAGCUCCUCUGCACAUCACCGCUGGCACCAUCCUCCACCAGACCUGUAUGAAACAUUACAGAGCCAAAAUCAUUACGCCACGAUGCAAUCCAUGAUGAAACCGAAAAUCUUGAUUCACACCAAACUAGCGAACCACUCAGACGCAAAUCGAUCUCGGGGCUCUUUCAAAUCUAGUACAGAGAGGGAAUAAAGGCCAAGUUCUUUAUUUAUACUCUAGCUAAGGAAUAAUAUUCUAACAUUUUCUCAUUCAACUUCUUCCUCUUCUCAUUCGCCACAAAACUAUUCAACUUCUUCCUCUUCUCACUCGCCACAAAACUAUUCUGAUAUCUCGACGGCGUAGCAUAUAGAAAAUAACAAAGAAAUCUAUUCAACAUUUAUUACCUCUACCUCAUGGAACCUGGUUUUUGGUAGCACAGAAUAAUUAACGGUAAGAGUUUGUAUGCACAUGCUUAGAGAGAAAGUGUUUCAAUCCAUCAAAGGAAAAAAGAGGUGAAGCUGGAUUUACAUGAGCAUCGUAGAUGUGGUCAGUGGCAAAGAUGAGUAUCAUAACCAUGAGACCAGCUGUGUCAGCUCAUCUGUAAUGGCUGUUCUGUUCUCGUAGACCACAAACUCUUAUUUUAGUUAAUUAUUCUCUGCUACCAAAAACUAGAUUCUUCUUCAAUGAUAUAUGUGUUCAAAGAUAUAUGUGCCACAUUUGCUCUGAAAGGGUUUAUCAUCCUUUCAUGAGGGGUGGAGUUCAUGAGGGGUGGAGUUACGGUUCUUCAAGAGGAUAUGACAAUCUUUUGUUUUGGAAUUUAUUAUUCUUUCAAUCUAAUAUUUGUUGUUACUGCGGUCGCCACCGAGAGCAGAACUGUGGGAAAACUUGCAGAAUAACGGUGGGAGGCACUGUGAUGCUCAACAUACUAAUGGUACAUCUUUCUGAAAUUGAUGGUUUAUAUGUACACGUUACUAUACAAUGUAUAUUUACAAAAUUAGUACAUCAAGGUGUCAUUCAUGAUAUUCAUUUUCUCAAUUUUAAUAACUUUGAGAUAUUGGUUAA